rnacentral:rRNA from 1 species
AUUGAACGCUGGCGGCAGGCCUAACACAUGCAAGUCGAACGGUAGCACAGAGAGCUUGCUCUCGGGUGACGAGUGGCGGACAGGUGAGUAAUGUCUGGGAAACUGCCCGAUGGAGGGGGAUAACUACUGGAAACGGUAGCUAAUACCGCAUAACGUCGCAAGACCAAAGUGGGGGACCUUCGGGCCUCACACCAUCGGAUGUGCCCAGAUGGGAUUAGCUAGUAGGCGGGGUAAUGGCUCACCUAGGCGACGAUCCGUAGCUGGUCUGAGAGGAUGACCAGCCACACUGGAACUGAGACACGGUACAGACUCCUACGGGAGGCAGCAGUGGGGAAUAUUGCACAAUGGGCGCAAGCCUGAUGCAGCCAUGCCGCGUGUAUGAAGAAGGCCUUCGGGUUGUAAAGUACUUUCAGCGGGGAGGAAGGCGGUGAAGUUAAUAACUUCACCGAUUGACGUUACCCGCAGAAGAAGCACCGGCUAACUCCGUGCCAGCCGCCGCCGUAA